UACGUAGGGUGCGAGCGUUAAUCGGAAUUACUGGGCGUAAAGUGUGCGCAGGCGGCCGAGCAAGUCGAGUGUGAAAGCCCCGAGCUUAACUUGGGAAUUGCGCUCGAAACUACUUGGCUGGAGUGUGGCAGAGGAAGGUGGAAUUCCCAGUGUAGCGGUGAAAUGCGUAGAGAUUGGGAAGAACAUCGGUGGCGAAAGCGCUCUACUGGACCUCAUCUGACACUCAGGGACGAAAGCUAGGGGAGCGAAUGGG
rnacentral:rRNA from 1 species